rnacentral:rRNA from 1 species
GUGUCAGCAGCCGCGGUAAAACGUAGGUGGCGAGCGUUAUCCGGAUUUACUGGGCGUAAAGCGCGUUUAGGCGGUUUGGCAAGUCGGGCAUGAAAUCUCCUGGCUCAACCAGGAGGGGCUGUCCGAUACUUCCAGACUUGAGGGCAGUAGAGGAGGGUGGAAUUCCGGGUGUAGUGGUGAAAUGCGUAGAUAUCCGGAGGAACACCAGUGGCGAAAGCGGCCCUCUGGGCUGCUCCUGACGCUCAAACGCGAAAGCUAGGGGAGCGAACGGGAUUAGAAACCCCCGUAGUCC